AUUGAACGCUGGCGGCAGGCCUAACACAUGCAAGUCGAGCGGAUGAGGGUAGCUUGCUACCUGAUUCAGCGGCGGACGGGUGAGUAAUGCCUAGGAAUCUGCCCGAUAGUGGGGGACAUCGUCUCGAAAGGAACGCUAAUACCGCAUACGUCCUACGGGAGAAAGCAGGGGACCUUCGGGCCUUGCGCUAUCGGAUGAGCCUAGGUCGGAUUAGCUAGUUGGUGGGGUAAAGGCUCACCAAGGCGACGAUCCGUAACUGGUCUGAGAGGAUGAUCAGUCACACUGGAACUGAGACACGGUCCAGACUCCUACGGGAGGCAGCAGUGGGGAAUAUUGGACAAUGGGCGAAAGCCUGAUCCAGCCAUGCCGCGUGUGUGAAGAAUGUCUUCGGAUUGUAAAGCACUUUAAGCUGGGAGGAUGGGCAGUAAGUUAAUACCUUGCUGCUUUGACGUUACCAGCAGAUAAGCACCGGCUAACUUCGUGCCAGCAGCCGCGGUAAUACGAAGGGUGCAAGCGUUAAUCGGAAUUACUGGGCGUAAAGCGCGCGUAGGUGGUUCAGCAAGUUGGAUGUGAAAGCCCCGGGCUCAACCUGGGAACUGCAUCCAACACUACUGGGCUACAGUAUGGUACAGGGUGGUGGAAUUUCCUGUGUAGCGGUGCCAUGCGUAUAUAUAGGAAGGAACACCAGUGGCCAAAGCGACCACCUGUACUAAUACUGACACUGAGGUGCGAAAGCGUGCGGACCAAACAGGAUUAGAUACCCUGGUAGUCCACGCCGUAAACGAUGUCAACUAUGUUGUUGGGUUCCUUGACGACUUAUCAACGAAGCUAACCGCGAUAAGUUGACCGCCUGGGGAGUACGGCCGCUAGGUUAAAACUCAAAUGAAUUGACGGGGGCCCGCACAAACGGUGGAGCAUGUGGUUUAAUUCAAAUCAACGCGAACAAGCUUACCUGGCCUUGACAUGCUGAAAAGUUUCCAUACAUGGAUUGAAGCCUUCGGGAACGCAAACGCAAGUGCUGCAUGUCUGUCUUCAUCUCAAUGUCAUGACAUGUUGCGUCACGUCCCGUAACGAGCGCAACCCAUUGUCCUUAGUUACCAGCACGUAAUGGUGGGCACUCUAAGGAGACUGCCGGUGACAAACCGGAGGAAGGUGGGGAUGACGUCAAGUCAUCAUGGCCCUUACGGCCAGGGCUACACACGUGCUACAAUGGACGGUACAAAGGGCUGCAAGACCGCGAGGUUUAGCCAAUCCCAUAAAACCGUUCUCAGUUCGGAUUGUAGGCUGCAACUCGCCUACAUGAAGCUGGAAUCGCUAGUAAUCGCGGAUCAGCAUGCCGCGGUGAAUACGUUCCCGGGCCUUGUACACACCGCCCGUCACACCACGAGAGUGGGUUGCUCCAGAAGUAGCUAGUCUAACCUUCGGGGGGACGGUUACCACGGAGUGAUUCAUGACUGGGGUG
rnacentral:rRNA from 1 species